AUAUUCACAAUAAAAAAAAAUCGCAACACACAAAUUAAAUUUUUCCACUUCUUCACUGCUCUCUAGCUAAGUUUCACCGCUCACCCCGGAGUAGUAGUAGGUUCCCACCUACUCAGCAAUCAUAGGGCUGCCUAGUCACUUCUUAGCCUGAGUCACCCUGUCAUUCACUACCUUUAUAAUACUCUUUAACUCAACCCUGUUCGAGCCUAAUUUCGUACGUAGCGAACCCUAUCAAACCAUUUCCGGCAUUUUGAUCCCAUCGCCACCCAGACUACACACCCCGCAGAAAUUACAAGCAAAUUGAAAUCUCGAAGCAUCCUCACCAUCCUCACUAAAAACCCAAGAAAACUGAGCAAAUCCAUUUGAGGACCAAUUAUGGGAUGCACUACCAACAGAAUUGGGAUAAUUUCUGCGGUGGUUGUGGACAGGUUUUGCCAAAAAACACGGCCCCAUAUAUUUGUUGCCUUUUUGCGCCGCAUGUGAACGGCCUGCAACACACUUA